CCCGACUGCUAUUUGGGUGAGAAUAAGCCAUGCGAGUUGAAUGGAAUACCUAAAUUUUCCAUAGCAAACUGCUCAGUAACACAUGAUCAACUUACCCUAUAGAGAAAAAUAACCUCGGGAAACUGAGGAUAAUGUUUCAUAGUUGAAAAGGCUUGGAAAAGUUUUUCAAUAAAAAGGAUAAGAAAAAUGGUUCUUAUCCGCUAUAGGAUAGGAUCGUGCUCGAUUAUGGCUGUUGGUGAGGUAAUGGCUCACCAAACCAAUAAUCAAUAGGGGCCGUGAGAGCGGGAGCCCCGAGAUGGGUACUGAGACAACGACCCAGGCCUUACGAGGUGCAGCAGGCGCGAAAACUCCGCAAUACACGAAAGUGUGACGGGGUUACCCAAAGUGCUUAAUUUUUAAGCUGUGGUAAGUGUGUAAUGUACCUUACUAGAAAGGAGAGGGCAAGGCUGGUGCCAGCCGCCGCGGUAAAACCAGCUCUUCAAGUGGUCGGGAUAUUAUUGGGCUUAAAGUGUCCGUAGCUUGUAUAAUAAGUUCCUGGUAAAAUCUAAUAGCUUAACUAUUAGUAUGCUAGGAAUACUGUUAUACUAGAGGGCGGGAGAGGUUUGAGGUACUUCAGGGGUAGGGGUGAAAUCCUAUAAUCCUUGAAGGACCACCAGUGGCGAAGGCGUCAGACUGGAACGCGCCUGACAGUGAGGGACGAAAGCCAGGGGAGCGAACCGGAUUAGAUACCCGGGUAGUCCUGGCUGUAAACGAUGCACACUAGGUGUUGGUAUGGCUAUGAGCCAUAUCAGUGCCGAAGGGAAACCAUUAAGUGUGCCGCCUGGGAAGUACGGUCGCAAGGCUAAAACUUAAAGGAAUUGGCGGGGGAGCACCACAAGGGGUGAAGCCUGCGGUUCA
rnacentral:rRNA from 1 species